GAUGAACGCUAGCGAUAGGCUUAACACAUGCAAGUCGAGGGGCAGCAUGGUCUUAGCUUGCUAAGACUGAUGGCGACCGGCGCACGGGUGCGUAACGCGUAUGCAACUUGCCUCACAGAGGGGGAUAACCCGUCGAAAGACGGACUAAUACCGCGUACACUUGGGAUAGGGCAUCCUGACCCAAGGAAAUGAAAUUCGCUGUGAGAUAGGCAUGCGUCCCAUUAGCUAGUUGGUGAGGUAACGGCUCACCAAGGCGACGAUGGGUAGGGGAACUGAGAGGUUGAACCCCCACACUGGUAUUGAGACACGGACCAGACUCCUACGGGAGGCAGCAGUGAGGAAUAUUGGUCAAUGGGCGAGAGCCUGAACCAGCCAAGUCGCGUGAAGGAUGACUGUCUUAUGGAUUGUAAACUUCUUUUAUACGGGAAUAACAAGAGCCACGUGUGGCUCCCUGCAUGUACCGUAUGAAUAAGCAUCGGCUAACUCCGUG
rnacentral:rRNA from 1 species